ensembl:lncRNA
GUCCCCCUCUCGCAUCGCCUUAGGGUCUCUCUGACACAAGGGUGUCCCCUCUGCCUUAGGGGUCUCUCAGACACGAGAGGAGGUUUCGCCGCCGGCGUUCCCCUCUGCCUUAGGGUCUCUCUGACACAAGGGUGUCCCCUCUGCCUUAGGGGUCUCUCAGACACGAGAGGAGGUUUCGCCGCCGGCGUUCCCCUCUGCCUUAGGGUCUCUCUGACACAAGGGUGUCCCCUCUGCCUUAGGGGUCUCUCAGACACGAGAGGAGGUUUCGCCGCUCGCAUCGCCUUAGGGUCUCUCUGACACAAGGGUGUCCCCUCUGCCUUAGGGGUCUCUCAGACACGAGAGGAGGUUUCGCCGCCGGCGUUCCCCUCUGCCUUAGGGGUCUCUCUGACACAAGGGUGUCCCCUCCGCCUUAGGGGUCUCUCAGACACGAGAGGAGGUUUCGCCGGCGGCGUUCCCCUCUGCCUUAGGGUCUCUCUGACACAAGGGUGUCCCCUCCGCCUUAGGGGUC